GCGGCCAUUUUGUCUGUGAGGCGACCGCGAGAGGUGAGUCUGAGGUCGGUGCCGCCCGUACCCUGAGGGGCUUCUGAGGGAUCUCUGAGGGGCUGCGGAACCUUCGGCAGCCGCCUUCGCCCUCCCCGGGCCGGCGAGGGAGCGCUCGGCAGCCCUGUUCGCCUCGGGGCGCCGCCAUUUUACAGCGCCCCAAGAGGGCUCCUGGAGGGGCCGACGCUUCCCCGAGAGUCCUUCCAGGGCUUCUCGGAGCUCAGGGGGGUGGCCGGGCCGCGGGGGCUGCUCGGGGAUGAGUCUCUCACAGACCUGUGCUGACCACGCGGUGAAGAGUUCUGAGUUCUCUGAGGGCUCGUCCCGCCCCGGCCUGCGGGUUGGGUGCUUGAUGUUUACAUCAUUCCUGUUACUGACGCCUCUUUUCGUUCUGUUUUCAGCUUUUUAGGCUGCAGAAUGGCGCCUGUGCGAGAGCCGUGCAACCGUCACUGGGGGUCCCCACAGCCCCUGUCGAGGUGAGCACCCUUUUUAUGUCUCUUUUUUUUUAAGAUUUUCAGCUUAAAUUUUCUGUCUUAUGUCCGUGGAGAGCAGGGAAGGCUCCGAAAUCCCCCCCGGGUGCAAAUUUUGGGGUGGAUUCCCCCUUUUUUCGGCUGUUCAGUGACGAGUGACAAAGACAAGCAUAUGGCUGAGGGUCCCUGAUGCCACGUGACCGCUGAGAGCAGCUG